rnacentral:rRNA from 1 species
AUACGGAGGAUCCGAGCGUUAUCCGGAUUUAUUGGGUUUAAAGGGUGCGCAGGCGGCCAUUUAAGUCAGCGGUUAAAUCGUGGGACUCAACCCCAUUCUGCCGUUGAUACUGGGUGGCUUGAUUGCGGUCGAGGUUGGCGGAAUUCGUUGUGUAGCGGGUAAAUGCAUAGAUAUGACGAAGAACACCGAUUGCGUAGGCAGCUGACCAGACCGCAAAUGACGCUCAUGCACGAAAGUGCGGGGAUCGAACAGGAUUAGAUACCCUGGUAGUCCGCACAGUAAACGAUGAAUACUUGUUUUCGGCGAUAUAAUGUCGGAGGCAAAGCGAAAGCGAUAAGUAUUCCACCUGGGGAGUACGCCGGCAACGGUGAAACUUAAAGGAAUUGGCGGGG